rnacentral:lncRNA from 1 species
AAUGUCAUUCACUUAAAAUAUAGGGGCAUAGAUUAGCUCAAAUCAGAUCCUCUUAAUUAGGUUAGACCUAAAGUUAUAGUCAAAGAGUUAAUGGACUAUCUAGAAAAAUUGAUUAAAUCUAACCAAAUAUUGAAUUAGAUUAAAUCAAGAUUUCUCUAGAACCAAUAUAAUAGUUGUAGAUGGUUAAGUCUAUGUCUUUGAUUAGACCA